ensembl:snoRNA SNORA66 Small nucleolar RNA SNORA66
GUACAAACUUGAUCACUAACUCUACAUGAUGUUGCAGAAGUGAGAGAAUCCAAGUUUUUUAAAGUAACUGAAGUGAUAGAACUGGAUUAACUUCAGAUUGAGGUUGUCUCUUCUACUGCAGGGUGAAA